rnacentral:misc_RNA from 1 species
GAUGAAGAACGUAGCGAAAUGCGAUAAGUAAUGUGAAUUGCAGAAUUCAGUGAAUCAUCGAAUCUUUGAACGCACCUUGCACCCUUUGGCAUUCCGAAGGGUAUGCUCGUUUGAGUGUCAUUGUACUCUCACACUCUCCGAUCCUAUGGAUUCGGGGAGCGGUGGACUUGGGUGUUGCUGCCUUUCCUUGUGGCUCACCUCAAAUGUGUCAGUGCACCUCUUGGUUGGACAUAGUACGGCGUGAUAAGUGUCUUCGCCGGCACCUCGCAAGAGGGUGGCCGAUCGGGAGCUCUGUGCUUUCAAACCGUCUUCGGACAAUUUCUGACAACUUGACCUCAAAUCGAGUAUGACUACCCGCUGAACUUAAGCAUAUCAAUAAGCGGAGGA